AUGAACAUAUGUUUUAAGUUUAUAUACCACCACUGGCACGCCAUCGGGACUGUGGUCAUCGUGGCCCUGAGGGGUGUGGCCCCCACUGUGGCAGGCGUCCCUUAUUUUUCUGUAUUGAAGGUGGCAACCCUAACAGAAACCGUGGCACUUAUUAAGUGUUAAACAAGUAAUUGUGUGCACAUCCCACCUUCUGGCAGGUGCUGCACAAAAGAAACCGCUAAAGUGAAGAAGACCUAGUAGGGUCGAAAUGUUGCUUGCUUUUUAAUAAUCCAGUAAAUAUGGGAGUUAUAAACAGUGUUUUACAUUUUUUCACUUAUUAAAAGUGUCAAUGUGAAACGCCAUUAUGAGACAAAACAUACACAUUGCCUCUCGGUCCUGUGUUUCACGCCUAAUAAAAAGCGUUUCCUGACUUGAAGCGGAGCGACAGAGUGUCGAGAGAUCGUGUUGAUCGUGUUCAGCAUGAGGAUCAUAAAACUUCAGCUCUAUCUGCUUGUGUUCUGUGGAGCUGCUGAAUGUUUCCGAGAGAAGUCUGUAGAUUUGGGACAAAAUGUGACUCUAGAGUGUGAAGUGUCUUUGAUGUCUACUGGUUCCUGAUGAACGUGCCAGAACCUCCAGUGUUUAUAUUAAGCUCUUUCCCCAGUAUUUCCCUGACAGCACAGUACAGUAACACAACCUUCAACAAGACAUUCUCACUGCAGUAUACCAACAGUUUGUUUAUACACAAUAUCAGUACUAAUGAAUUAGGAGUCUAUUAUUGUAUUUAAACUCCUAUUGAUUCACCUUUAAUCAUCAGCCGUGGAAUCAGACUUUACAAUAAGGUGGAUAUAUAUGGUUUUGUUGUGAAGCCUAUACUGUAUUUAUAACUUCACUCAUCAUUGGGCAAUUAUACGAUUCAGUGUAACAUUUAAUGUCGUAUAUUUUGUCAUAUAUUUAUUGGAUAGUAAUAUAGUAUUGUAGAAUAAGUUGAAAAUGAAAAGGAAUGCAAGGAAAGCCUUUUGUGCACCACUUAAUAGAAUGAUCUUUUUUAAAAUGGUUCACACUUGUACUUUUGAGACAAGGUCUAUCCUUAAUCUGUUAGGUCCAGUGUUUGAUUUUAUCCCAACAAAAUUCCCAAUAAAAGUGAAUUCAAUUGAAUAAAUAGGUGAGCUAAUAAUAAUAAUCGCUUUAAUUUAUAUAGCGCCUUUCAAAGGACCCAAGGUCGCUUGCUCACAGACUCCGUUGAAUGUUCUUGUGUGAUAAAGAAAGUGUCUUUCUUCCGGUGUGGUGUGUGUGUGUGUGAUGUAGAUAAAACAUAACCGGGCUGAAAAGGACAUGGCAGUAAGUCAAAAUCAAAUACUAAAACAUUCAGCAGAAUGGUCUUAACAAUGGAGCGAAUGAAACAUUAAAAGUAGCCUUUUUUUUUUUUUUUUUUUACAUUAAUGUUUUAAAUGACUGCGUGUUAGUUGAGCAUGCUGUUAAACACGUAAAAGACCCACGUUUGCACAUCAAUGCCUGUACAGGGUGUUUUAUUUGCAAAACUUAAAUGUAAGAAACGUAUUCAACUAAAGUUAUGUUUACAAAGAACUUUUCGAAUGUGUUAAAUUGAUUGUAUUAAUAUCUGCAGGCAGUGGCGGGAUGAAGGAAUUAUGCACAAUGUACUUUGUUUAAAUUUAACUUUUUGUACUAUUUGCAGCACAGCUGCAAAUGCUUUGGUAAUGCAAAUGUACAGUUUUUGUCAUGCCAAUAAAGCACACUUAAAUUGAGAGAGAGAGAGAGAGAGAGAGAGAGAGAGAGAGAGAGAGAGAGAGAGAGAGACCUAUUUUGAUAACAAUAAAAUAACAGCAGCCCUUAUUAAACCACUUAAUUAUUUUAAUAUUUUGCUGCAUGAUGAAAUCAUGGCAAUAUCCGGAAUCUCCAGUGAAACAAGUUUUUACAAGCUAGAAACCCAUUGUUGACAUUUUUUAAAGCUCUCAUUUUGCUUGUGAAUGUGGAUGUUGAAAUGAAUUUUCUUUAUGGUAAUUAAUUUUUGUGCUUAUUUCAUUUUCUUUCCACAUUUCUCUUUCUAUGUCGGAAUGAAUGUGUUCCUCCCCCACUCUGGUCAUGCUGACCUGUGAUAAGUGUGUUCUUGUACCCUGAGUUUCUGCAAACAUAAGCAUGAUGUGCUCUUGACCGGAUGAAAAGACAAGAUAGGUUGACCUGCUUGUGGGAUUACUCGCAGGACACUCAGUUUCUCUUUGCUCAUGUACAGGCUUUCUGACCUUCAAUGCUUGGAUAGGAGUUGUGAGGAAGCAGCAUUCUAGCAU